AUGACUCACUUCUCCGAUGAUUCUUCCUCAGCGCCUCCGUCAUCUUUCUACGCCCACCGCCAUGACCUAAUCUCUGUUCCACCUUAUUCUUCUUCUUCGCUCGACGCUUCCUCGCAGAUUCAUCACCUCUGCCGUCGUGACAACUCUACCCUCUAG